rnacentral:rRNA from 1 species
AGCGAACGCUGGCGGCAGGCUUAACACAUGCAAGUCGAGCGGGCGUAGCAAUACGUCAGCGGCAGACGGGUGAGUAACGCGUGGGAACGUACCUUUUGGUUCGAAACAACACAGGGAAACUUGUGCUAAUACCGGAUAAGCCCUUACGGGGAAAGAUUUAUCGCCGAAAGAUCGGCCCGCGUCUGAUUAGCUAGUUGGUAGGGUAAUGGCCUACCAAGGCGACGAUCAGUAGCUGGUCUGAGAGGAUGAUCAGCCACAUUGGGACUGAGACACGGCCGCAACUCCUACGGGAGGCAGCAGUGUGGAAUAUUGGACAAUGGGGGCAACCCUGAUCCAGCCAUGCCGCGUGAGUGAUGAAGGCCCUAGGGUUGUAAAGCUCUUUUGUGCGGGAAUAUAAUGACGGUACCGCAAGAAUAAGCCCCGGCUAACUUCGUGCCAGCCGCCGCCGUAA